UCCUAUGCUCUAACUGCCUGUGUUG
rnacentral:piRNA from 1 species